rnacentral:rRNA from 1 species
ACGUAGGGGGCGAGCGUUAUCCGGAAUCACUGGGCGUAAAGGGCGUCUAGGCGGUCCAGUAAGUCCUGCGUGAAAGCUCCCGGCUCAACUGGGAGAGCGCGUGGGAGACUGUUGGGCUAGAGACUCGGAGAGGGGUGUGGAAUUCCCGGUGGAGUGGUGAAAUGCGUUGAGAUCGGGAGGAACACCAGUGGCGAAGGCGGCACCCUGGCCGAGUUCUGACGCUGAAGCGCGACAGCGUGGGGAGCAAACGGG